CAGGUCUGCCCAGGGCGCGUCUCCGGUCCUGGUCUCCCGAGUGACCUCUGGACCUGCCUUUUUACCUGCCCUGCGCGAGGACUCCUCCAAGGAUCUGUCUACCCGGGCUUAGUGACGCCUGCAGUGAAUCCUUCGGAGGUAGCUGUCCCCUGCCGCCCAGGAGCUCGUUGAGCCUGGGGAGCGGAGGGAUACGAUGGAGGCAUCUGUCAUAUCCAGAUUCGCUCGGAUGCCUCUUCCCUCAUGCUGGAAGGAUUUGAGAAAACCGAAAGCACCAUGAUGGCUGGGAAUUCAUUUGCUGUACAUCCUGGUACGGGACCUGGCCCAGCCGAAAUGAACAAGACGAGGAAGGCCAUUGACAUUGCUCUUGGCUGCCUCACAGCUAGACGGUGAGACUCUCGCUGAAUAUACACUGGUUGCAGCACAUUCAUGAAUCAAGCUGGAACUGACCUCAUGGCUGACCUUCACAGUGCCAGAAGGUGCUAUGCAGGUGAAUGCUACAAGAAUGAGCUGCCAGGUUUAGAGUCACCUAGGAGACACACCUCAGGGCACGUCAGUCAGAAUGUUUCCGGACCGGAAGACCCACCCCGAAUGUGGGCAGCAGCCACUGAUGGGCUGGUGUCCUAGACAGGGUAGGGAGCCAAUGGGACUGUCACUGGUCUUGCUCUGCUUCCUUACUGACACAGUGUGACCAGCUGCCUCCUGCUCCACCUCCCCCCCACCAGGUAUAGCCACUUCUACUGUCACCUUCCCCACAAAGGCGAGACUGUACCUCCUAACUGUGAGCCAAGAAAGAAAAUUUUUCCUUCCUAGGUUGCAUUUGUCUGAUGCUUGGAUGCAACAGUGAGAAAAGGAGCUACUCUACACAGCCUGGCCCUAGCUGCCAGCCCCUCCCACGGAACAUUUGAAGCUCGUACUCAUGUGGUCACCUUCAAGUACAGCCUCUCAUAUCUGUGUGGACGCGGUACAGUCUGUCACCUGCAGGCACAGCUUCUAUGUCUGUGUGGACACGGUACAGUCUGUCACUUGCAGGUACAGUGUCUCAUGUCUGUGUGGACAUGGUACAAUCUGUCACCUGCAGAUACAGCUUCUCAUAUCUGUGUGGACACGGUACAGUCUGCCACCUGUUUCUCAUAUCUGUGUGGACACGGUACAGUCUGUCACCUGCUUCUCAUAUCUGUGUGGACACGGUACAGUCUGCCACCUGCUUCUCAUGUCUGUGUGGACACGGUACAGUCUGCCACCUGCAGGUUUAUUUCAGAAGUCUAAGGGCUUCAGACCACUAAGGAUUGAGCCAACUAGCCUCUCUGAGCAUUCUUCAACACACCCCCUUGGGAGGAUGUGCGAGCCAACAAAGACCCAAGACACAUGUUCCCAAACCCGCGGUGCCCAUCACCCUUUGGUCAUCCCUGCUAGCCUGGAACAUCUUCCUGCCCUAGGUUUGUGCUCUCCUUGUCCUGCCUCUUGGUUAAAGCUGGCUUUUUUGUCCUACUCAACAAAAUUGUAGAAGAAACAAUGUCACAAGACAUAUGCUGAACCUGUGCUGGUCCUUAGGAGUGAGAAGCCCAUUAUAGGAGCUACGAGGAGUAGGAAGGGACACAAUGACUUCAGCAGACGGUGUGAAGUGAGCAUCCUUGAUUUACACUCCCUGGCCUCCUGCCCACAGACGGCGUCUGAGACACUGGACUAUUCAUUGAAUUCUGUGGAUUCUCGCCUAGGCACUUUGGUUGCAAGAACAAAACUGACUCCAGUUGAAUCCUGGAAUGGAAGUUUAUUGGAGGAACACACUAGAAAGGUUCCUGGAGAAAAGAUGGUAUUCAGGCACAAAACCAAAAGGGACUGAGGAGGAUCAGGACGUUCAAGGUUAUCCAUUCCCAGUCAUUUAAUGAGAUUGAAGUCAGUUUGAGCUAUGUGAGACCUUGUUGGAGGCAGGGGAGGAAGGAAAGAGAGAAGAAAAAAGUGGUCCUAGAACAAGCCAUAGCACCACCUUGGCUACACAGUUACUCCUUUCCUGAUCCAUUCCCAACUUUCUAGCCCUAUUCUGGCCCCACCACUCUCCAGGUUCUCAGCUCCAGGCCCUUUGUUCCUGACACCAUCUACUACCAGGCUGUGGCAGGAGUCGCCAGCCCACUGGAGGCCCGGUUCCUCCCAUCACUGACCUCCCAGGACACUUCAUUCCUUCCUGGUGAUAAUCAUUUGUUUCAACAGACUCUGGAGCAUGGGCAUCCAGGAAAUGAACAACUGUUCACUUUGCCAUGGAGAGAAAUCCUUGUUCAUAUUUGAACAGGUAACACCCCUGUCUGCUCCUUGCUCUUGGAAGAGCUGGUACAGCUGUAGGGUUGGGAGGGACCACACCCUGUACAGAGAUGUCUGCCUGGCAUGCCCUUGCCCUACUGAGUGUGAUGGUUUGAAUGAGAAUGGCCCCCAUAAGCCCAGGUGUUUGAAUGCUUUGUCCCUGGUUGAUGAACUGUUUGGGAAGGAUUAGGAGGUGUGGCCUUGUUGGGGUAGGUGUGUCUCUGGGGGUAGGCUCUGAGAUUUCAAAGGUCCACGCCAGCCAGGGGUUUCUCUCUCUCUCUCUCUCUCUCUCUCUCUCUCUCUCUCUCUCUCUCUCUCUCUCUCUCCUGCUGCCUGGACUAUAAAGCUCUCAGCUCUUACUCUGGUGCCACAACUGUCUGCUUCCCACCAUGAUGGUCAUGGGCUAACCCUCUAAAACUGUAAGCAAGGCCCCAGCUGAAUACAUUCUUUUCUAAGAGU